GGUGACGAUGGUGGUUGUUAAUG
rnacentral:siRNA from 1 species